rnacentral:lncRNA from 1 species
GGCCGAUAGGACUGAGGCCCUUACGGCCUUAUUAGGGAGUCCACCCCAGUCCCCACUAGAUGAGGUGUCCGCUAGUUCACUGUCAGUUGAAAUGCGGCUCCUCUUGAGUAUCAUUUCUAGGACCCUUUUCCCUAAGACAGGCCGUUUUGAUUUUGUAUCUGAGAGGGACCUAGCCCUUAUGUUCUACAUCCUUCAGGAUACUCCAAUUAACUUUCCAAAACUCAUUUACAAAUACCUAUGUGAGCCACUAGACAGACCUAGGCUCACCCUUCCGUAUGGGAUGAUGUAUACCCUGAUCUUUAGGGAGUCCGAGAUCCCCAUUCCUAAGGGGGAACCCUCUCGCGCACUGCGAUGGACAGAUCGCAUGGGUGAGGGAACCCUUCACAGGAUGGGAUUUCAUAAGGUAGAGGGAACCUGGGUCAG